rnacentral:rRNA from 2 species
CGAACUUCCUUACCAGGUCUUGACAUCCUCUGACACUCCUAGAGAUAGGACGUUCCCAUUCGGGGGACAGAGUGACAGGUGGUGCAUGGUUGUCGUCAGCUCGUGUCGUGAGAUGUUGGGUUAAGUCCCGAAACGAGCGCAACCCUUGAUCUUAGUUGCCAGCAUUCAGUUGGGCACUCUAAGGAAAGUGCCGGUGACAAACCGGAGGAAGGUGGGUAUGACGUCAAAUCAUCAUGCCCUUUAUGACCUGGGCUACACACGUGCUACAAUGGAUGGUACAAAGGGCAGCAAAACCGCGAGGUCGAGCAAAUCCCAUAAAGCCAUUCUCAGUUCGGAUUGUAGGCUGCAACUCGCCUACAUGAAGCUGGAAUCGCUAGUAAUCGCGGAUCAGCAUGCCGCGGUGAACCCUUUCCCGGGCCUUGUACACACCGCCCGUCACACCACGAGAGUUUGUAACACCCGAAGUCGGUGGGGUAACCUUUGGGAGCC